CCUACGGGAGGCAGCAGUGGGGAAUAUUGGACAAUGGGGGGAACCCUGAUCCAGCGACGCCGCGUGAGUGAAGAAGUAUUUCGGUAUGUAAAGCUCUAUCAGCAGGGAAGAAAGAAAUGACGGUACCUGACUAAGAAGCCCCGGCUAACUACGUGCCAGCAGCCGCGGUAAUACGUAGGGGGCAAGCGUUAUCCGGAUUUACUGGGUGUAAAGGGGGCGUAGACGGCGAUGCAAGUCUGAAGUGAAAGGCGGGGGCCCAACCCCCGUACUGCUUUGGAAACUGUAUGGCUGGAGUGCAGGAGAGGUAAGUGGAAUACCUAGUGUAGCGGUGAAAUGCGUAGAUAUUAGGAGGAAUACCAGUGGCGAAGGCGGCUUACUGGACUGUAACUGACGUUGAGGCUCGAAAGCGUGGGGAGCAAACAGGAUUAGAUACCCUAGUAGUC
rnacentral:rRNA from 1 species